rnacentral:rRNA from 1 species
GCUUAGCCUUAAACCUAGAUAUUAACAUUACAAAAAAUAUCCGCCAGGGUACUACAAGCGCUAGCUUAAAACCCAAAGGACUUGACGGUGUCUCAGACCCACCUAGAGGAGCCUGUUCUAGAACCGAUACUCCCCGUUCAACCUCACCAUCCCUUGCCCUAACAGCCUAUAUACCGCCGUCGCAAGCUUACCCUGUGAAGGACAAUUAGUAAGCAAAAUGGAUAGCCUCCAAAACGUCAGGUCGAGGUGUAGCCUACGGGAUGGGAAGAAAUGGGCUACAUUUUCUAAUACUAGAAUAUACGAACGGCAUUAUGAAACCAUGCCUGAAGGUGGAUUUAGUAGUAAAAGUCAAAUAGAGAGUCACUUUGAACCAGGCUCUGAGACGCGC